UAAAAAAUAUGUGGUUGAAAUAGAUUCAAUUAACUAUUGAAGAAUGUCUUAUGAUAGAAAAAUGGGGCUUAAACAAGGGCUUGCUUUAUUAUUUUAAAAUGAGCAUGCAGGAUAUAAAUGCGCAUUAUGUUGAUAGAUAGCAUGUUCAAUAGGAUUUGGAACUCACCCCUAUACCAGGAAACUAAGAAUUUGUAAUGUGCUACAGAUUGUGGAAUUUUAGGAUGAUGGAAGAUGGAUUGAUAAAUUGUUUUACACGCGUAUAAAGUGUCACCUCCAAAUCCACAUAUGCAGAAUCCUCCCUACUUAAUCUAUGCAUAUACACAUUGUUACUUAGACUUGGCGGGAAGUGUCGGAUAAAAUCCCUCGUUGAACAUGGGUACUCUUUUUCAUCUUUGGGUUUUCAAAUUCAUUCUGUAAAUUACUCAUGAUCUCUCUUUCUUAGUUUCAAGCUGGCUUGAUGAUGAUGAAUGAAAGUACUCGAUGAUUGGAAGUCGGAUACAUUGGAGAGUUUAAGUACAUCAAUGAUCACUGAUCUGGUAAAAUUGUGGUUGAACAAAUGUAGAGUCAUCAGCCCUGACUUUGACGUUGCUAUCCAGGAAAUUGAGGAAUGGAAUGCAAGGUUGCUUCCCUUCUGGCAGUUUUGGAUACAUUUGUUGGCAUCAUGGAGCAUGAAGAGGCUAGGAGAAAGAAGGUUGAGGGGGAAAGUGUGCAAUCCCUGUGCAAACUAGUUUCUGAUGUAAUGACUAAGAAUCUGUUCCUUCGACUGUCCAAGACAUUUUGUGUUGAGGAACAAAGACUUGUUCGUUCGAUCAUCCAAUGCGCUUUAUGUUGAGGAUCAAGGAUUGGCUCCUUCGAUUGUCCAUGGCGUUGAGGACCAAGAACCAGCUUCUUCGACCAUUCAAGACAUUUUGUGUUGAGUACUAAGGACUUGCUUCUUCAACCGUCCGAGGGACUUUGUGUUGAGGACCGUCCAAGGCACUUUGUAUUUAGGACCAAGGGCUGGCUCCUUCGACUGUCCAAGGCACUUUGUGUUUGGGACAUUUACAUAUUUGGAAGGCUCGUAAUUUUAGAUGAUAAUGAAUUUAAGAGAUUUACUACCCCUUUUUAUUUGCUUUCUUUUUUCUUUUGCAUGAUAGGAAUAAGUUCCAAUGAUAAAGUAUACUCUAACAUACACGAAAUUAUUGAGCUUAAAAAUUAAGGCAAAAGUUAUUUGCGUUUCAAAGAUACCAAUUUGAAGUACCAUGCCUAGACUUGCCAACGAAUGAUCCUUCUCCUGACCUCCUGAGCCAUUGUUGGAGUUGUAUAUGCCUACCAUUAGUGAAUGUCACGAAAGUUUGGAUAUUGGCAAGUGCAACCACUUCCGCAGAGCAUGGAGUGCAUCCCAAAGGCUGAAAUUUGUGAGAGGUUUGACAUUAAAGAAAUAUGAUGCGAAAGUGCAUUGGCCAGUCGAUGGGAGAUUUCUUUUCUUCCAAAUUUUGGGAAUAGUCCUUAUGGGUCCAAAAAUUUGUACUCAAGAGGAAUCUUUGUGAGUUAGCUUUUGUAGUCGGUUCUGCUACAAAAGAUUACAAUUGCCCAAACUCUAUCUACAGACUCUUUGUGAGGUUUAGUGUCCAGAGACCAUGUAGCACCCCGAAAAUUUUAUAGAAUAAACUUAAUUCCAAUAUGUUCACGGUUUCAUUUAAGUUUGGAAUUAAUUAUGUUUAAUGCGACGGGUGGUCAAAAGAUGUUCCACAAUAUCACAUGCCCCAUGCAUGCUUGUCAAGUCUUAAAAUUAAUUGCAUUGUUACUAAAAUUAUUGUUUCUAUCGCAUCUAAAUUAAAUUAUUAUAUUGACUUUAGUGAUUAUAAUGAUUUUUAUAUAUGAAGAAAAUUUAUCAAUUGUCAAAUAGUGCCUUUU